AUUGAACGCUGGCGGCAGGCCUAACACAUGCAAGUCGAACGAGUGGCGGACGGGUGAGUAAUGUCUGGGCAACUGCCUGAUGGAGGGGGCUAACUACUGGAAACGGUAGCUAAUACCGCAUACCAUCGGAUGUGCCCAGCUGGGAUUAGCUAGUAGGUGGGGUAAAGGCUCACAUAGGCGACGAUCCCUAGCUGGUCUGAGAGGAUGACCCGCCACACGGGAACUGAGACACGGUCCAGACGCCUACGGGAGGCAGCAGUGGGGAAUAUUGCACAAUGGGCGAAAGCCUGAUGCAGCCAGGCCGCGGGUAUGAAGAAGGCCUUCGGGUUGUAAAGUACUGUCAGCGGGGAGGCGUUACCCGCAGAAGAAGCACCUGCUAACUCCGUGCCAGCAGCCGCGGUAAUAC
rnacentral:rRNA from 1 species